rnacentral:lncRNA from 1 species
UUUAAAGUGGAGAAGCACAUUUCAUUACUUAGUUCAUCAAGGUUGAUGGUGUAGACAUUAUUUUGUUUUAAUGCAAUCAUAGUUAUGUUAUGGUUUGGUUUUUCAAUAAUACACACAUUUGAUUCAAAUCUAAUGAUAUAACCUUUAUCGCAUAAUUGACUAACACUCAAGAGAUUAUGUUUCAAUCCAUCAACUAGUAAGACAUCAUCAAUAGAAAAUUUUAAUUUGUUACCUAUGGUUCCCUUGCCAAUAAUUUUGCCUUGGUUGUUGUCUCCGAAGGUGACGUACCC